rnacentral:rRNA from 1 species
GACGAACGCUGGCGGCGUGCCUAAUACAUGCAAGUAGAACGCUGAAGAGAGGAGCUUGCUCUUCUUGGAUGAGUUGCGAACGGGUGAGUAACGCGUAGGUAACCUGCCUUGUAGCGGGGGAUAACUAUUGGAAACGAUAGCUAAUACCGCAUAACAAUGGAUGACACAUGUCAUUUAUUUGAAAGGGGCAAUUGCUCCACUACAAGAUGGACCUGCGUUGUAUUAGCUAGUAGGUGAGGUAAUGGCUCACCUAGGCGACGAUACAUAGCCGACCUGAAAGGGGGAUCGGCCACACUGGGACGGAGACACGGCCCAGAAUCCUACGGGAGGGAGCAGUAGGGAAUCUUCGGCAAAGGGGGCAACCCUGACCGAGCAACGCCGCGUGAGUGAAGAAGGUUGUCGGAUCGUAAAGCUCUGUUGUAAGUCAAGAACGGGUGUGAGAGUGGAAAGUUCACACUGUGACGGUAGCUUACCAGAAAGGGACGGCUAACUACGUG